UUAGUUGAUGAAUCAGCUCAUAAGCCAGUGUAUGCUGAUCUGGCUAUUGCUGCUAAAGGGAAGAGACCUCAGGCAGCACCAACACAAGAACAACCAGUGGUAUAUGCAUCAAUUAACAACAAAUCUGUUCCUCCUCCCAUUCCUCCUCCAGCUGCUCCUCAUAAAGUAUUGUAUGCUGAUCUAUCAAUAGCAGCUGGUAAGAGAACACCAAAGAAUAAACCACCCACUGAGGAAAGAGUAGUCUAUGCAGCAGUAAAUGGAAAUUUCAUUCUAAUCAACAGAACCAACAAUGUAUAAAGUA